rnacentral:rRNA from 1 species
AAACGUUGGAACUAGUUGUGGGGUCAUUCCACGGAUUCCGUGACGCAGCUAACGCAUUAAGUUCCCCGCCUGGGGAGUACGGCCGCAAGGUAAAACUCAAAGGAAUUGACGGGGACCCGCACAAGCGGCGGAGCAUGCGGAUUAAUUCGAUGCAACGCGAAGAACCUUACCAAGGCUUGACAUAUAGAGGAAACGGCUGGAAACAGUCGCCCCGCAAGGUCUCUAUACAGGUGGUGCAUGGUUGUCGUCAGCUCGUGUCGUGAGAUGUUGGGUUAAGUCCCGCAACGAGCGCAACCCUCGUUCUAUGUUGCCAGCACGUAAUGGUGGGAACUCAUGGGAUACUGCCGGGGUCAACUCGGAGGAAGGUGGGGAUGACGUCAAAUCAUCAUGCCCCUUAUGUCUUGGGCUUCACGCAUGCUACAAUGGCCGGUACAAAGGGCUGCAAUACCGUGAGGUGGAGCGAAUCCCAAAAAGCCGGUCCCAGUUCGGAUUGAGGUCUGCAACUCGACCUCAUGAAGUCGGAGUCGCUAGUAAUCGCAGAUCAGCAACGCUGCGGUGAAUACGUUCCCGGGUCUUGUACACACCGCCCGUCAAGUCAUGAAAGUCGGUAACACCUGAAGCCGGUGGCCCAACCCUUGUGGAGGGAGCCGUCCGAAGGUGGGAUCGGUAAUUAGG